rnacentral:rRNA from 1 species
AUUGAACGCUGGCGGCAGGCCUAACACAUGCAAGUCGAGCGGAUGAAGGGAGCUUGCUCCUGGAUUCAGCGGCGGACGGGUGAGUAAUGCCUAGGAAUCUGCCUGGUAGUGGGGGAUAACGUCCGGAAACGGGCGCUAAUACCGCAUACGUCCUGAGGGAGAAAGUGGGGGAUCUUCGGACCUCACGCUAUCAGAUGAGCCUAGGUCGGAUUAGCUAGUUGGUGGGGUAAAGGCCUACCAAGGCGACGAUCCGUAACUGGUCUGAGAGGAUGAUCAGUCACACUGGAACUGAGACACGGUCCAGACUCCUACGGGAGGCAGCAGUGGGGAAUCUUGGACAAUGGGCGAAAGCCUGAUCCAGCCAUGCCGCGUGUGUGAAGAAGGUCUUCGGAUUGUAAAGCACUUUAAGUUGGGAGGAAGAGCAGUAAGUUAAUACCUUGCUGUUUUGACGUUACCAACAGAAUAAGCACCGGCUAACUUCGUG